CCAGGUACCACAGUUCACUGGGGAAGGGCAGGGCUGGGCAAGGGGAGGCUGCUCUGGGGCUGGAGAAGGAACAACAUUCAUGUGGCUUUCAGUUGGAAAAGCUGUGGAAAUGACUGAAAGGAGGGAGAACUACUUGCUCAGCUAAGGGUGAGCUAGGUGAAGACUGUAACCUUCUGCCCUUACGGGGAGCAAGAGCUUUAGCAGCUCUGCUUUCUCGCAGCGCUAAUUUGCAGACCAGCAGGAAAGGUGAUGUUUCCUUGCACGUUUGAGCCUUGUCAUUUUAGACACGAGCUCUUGGCCAGCAUCCAGAGCAUCCGUGGGAGUGAUGGUCCUGGCAUCCAGUCUUGCUGCCUGUCAGAUAAAAGACCUGUGCCUGAGCAGGUCGGUUGGUGUUUGGAGUAUCCAGAGAGGGGUCUGGCUAUGCAGGGAAGGAUCCGGAGCCCAUAUCUUCUGACACAGAGUAAUCCAACGCCUGCUUUGCAUCUCGCAUCGGCAGCUCGUUCCCUGCAGGUCCCUGCAGCCUUGGUAAGAUGGAGAGCUAGUGCCACCUUGUGCACAGCAGCAGCCAUGCCUCCCACCCCAAGGAAAGCUGUGCGAGGGCUGCCUGCCUCCUCCCCGGCAGCCUCUUGCACUCUGCAGAGGGAACAUUAGGCACCAGGAGGCAGAAAUGAUGGGGAACAGGCUGGCUGCAGGAUGCCUGCUCGCUUCUCUGUAAGGCUGAGAGGGUUUCAGGGCUGAGUAGGAGUAGCAAAGCCACUGGGGGACGGGGACGGUGGACUAAAAAGCUGACGGUGAAAGAUUCUGGUAGAACAUCACUUCUGGUUGUUUCUGUAAACGCCAGAUCAGAGGUGGCUCUUGCCACUGAGAAAGCAGGGCCAAGCUCGUGGAAGGAGGCAGAACUGCCUCUCCAGGUCAGAAUGCAUUUUAAUUCAAGCCACAGUCUUGAAACCAAAUUCGUAGCUGAGCGCCUGUGGAGAUCCAGGAUCCUGAAUCAUUCAUCAGCGGUUAAGUGACAGAACCACCACCUGGGAGGCCAAAACCCUGGGCAGGUUAUCAACACCAGCCUGCCUGCAGCAGUCCUCUCCCCUUCUGUCUCCUCUCCUUUCUCCUCCCCUCUCCCAGCUCCUGGCACAGGCCGUGGUGUCCCUCCGGGAGAAGUGGCAGUGGUGCCAUCCUGCGGUCACCUGGGCCUUUGCAAGAGGGAGAGUGGCUUUGUCCCGUUUUUUUGUGUUUUUUUUUUUUUUCUGUUCUGCACGAACUGGUUUUAUCUUGGUUCCUUUUGUAAUAAAGGUGAUAAAAGUUUAAACAGGUACUGCCUGCUUCAGCUGGGCGACAGCUGACGAUGGGGUUACUUAGAGGGUUAGGAGAGCAGGCUGUGAAAAUGAUCCCUGUGCUUUCAUAGUCCUGUAGCCAUUCUGCAAACAUGGGCAAGCUACUCUAAAAUACAGGCAAGCCCUGCAGGGAGGGAGGCUGUCUUGCUAAGGGUCCCUUACCUUCUGGUGUCAAAACUCUGGCAGCCCAGGGUGGGAAAACUGUGCUACAGGUAAGGUGAAUUGUCCUGUAGCCUAAAAAAUCCUGGGGGAGCAGGGCAGAGUCUGAGGUCCUUGAGCGAGUGCUUUGAAUCCUUCACUGUCAGGCUCUGCAAGUCCCCUGGGCACGGCCUUUUCAAGGGGAAAGAAAGCUGCAGAUACAGCUGUAUAGUAUAUAUAUGUAUAAUCCUACACACAUCAGAUUAUCGCCGUUUUCCUCUUGUUUCUGCAAACAUACCCAGGAGGCUGUGCAGUUCAUCAGAAGGGAGCUAUUAGGAGGUGAAAGAAAAUAGCCGUCGCUCUGGGAUAUCACCUGGGGGUAUUAUUAUACCUUGGUAAUGCUGCCAAUUGGUUUUGAGCUGGCUUGGGACAAACCAUGUGAGGAACUAAUCCCAAAUAGGAUUAUUUCCAUAGGACUGACAAAGGUACAUCCCAUUUCUGUCUUUCUGGAAAAAAAAACGACACCUUGAAUUUGAUCACUUCUGUGGGGAUGCCUCAACUUUGUCCUUAUAUGAGGAUGACAAGCCUGGGCUUUUAUAGACACUGUGCCCUGUCAUUGCCCCUCGAGCAGUGGUACCUUUCCGGGUCUCUGUGGUGACACAGAUGAACCCUUUGGGCUUAGGAAAAGACCUGAAGAUGUUUGGGGUUUUUUUUCCAUUCUUCCAGGGGAAAUAGCUGUGUGAUGCCACCUUCUCUUUGUGGCCCCUUCUGCAUAUAAGGCUGGAGGGAUCAGUGCACCUGCUAGGUGCUUCUCCAGUAUCUUCCCUAGGCAGGAAUUUUUCCUGUUGCCCACGUUGUUCCAGUGCUUCUCUGUCCUUCCCACCAGAAAGCUCUUUCCCUGAUACCUGAAUCAUUCCUGCUGCAGGCUGGGCCUGUUACUACCUACACAGCUAUGGAAAUCAGUGGUUCCCUCCCCUUACAGCAGCCUGUUAUGCACUUGACUGUUAUACUCUUUCCUUUAACCUCUUCCUUUCUCAGGUUUACCCACCCAUAUCAUUAAAGCUUCCCUCGGGAUCAGGCCUCUACCCAGAUUUGUUUCUCCUUAUCCUAUUUGCAAGCAGUCCCAGUAUUUCUCGACGUAGCUCAAACCCGAAGCCUCCCUGGCACACGCUGUGGGAUGACAGCACAGCUCCAUCUGCUGUGUGGUGACUUGAGAGAAAAGAGAAGUGUUUUUUUAACCUGUCCUUACUAACUGAUGUCAGGACUAGUAUAGGAUGAGGCAGUCAUAUGCAAAGUCAUUCCCUGAGCGGUUGUCACAUGAAUAAGGAGUGGAGACUGGUGCUUAGUGUACAUCUGGAAGGAAGAUAAAUCUUCCUUCUCACCCCAGCUUGGACCCAGCUGUGAUUUUCCCUGUGAGGGGGGAAACUGUGUAGCUCUUCUGAGUGUGGGGGAACUGUACAGGGGAAGUAAGACAGUAAUUUCUCUGUGGUGACUCCAUCGUGGAAUGGCCUGGUCCAGACCCGCUGUUGCAGAGACCAGCUCAUAUUCUCCAAGGCUUUUCCAUCAGAAAACUGGACUUCACUAAAGCUGUGACUGGCACUGGGGUACAUCUGAUCUUGGAUAAAUCCUCCUUCUGACUGAAAAGGAGAUGGUGCCUAGGACAGGAGAUGACUUGGUACCGGUGCUGUCCUUGCUGUGUGACUAAUGGUGUUGCUCUGGGGGCUUUUUUCACCUAAUCAGCCUGCAGGAUGUGUGACGUCCUGAAGCAGGUGCCCCCUGCUGAACCCUAAGCAAAUCAAGCUUCUGAGCCAGCCAGGAACCACCAGCAACCAAGACUAAGGAGCUGGCUUUGACACAGAGGUGGGUGAGAACAUGGGAUCCCACCACAGAGCGGAAAACACAGUGGAGGAGGCAGGUGGGGGCAGUUUUGUGGACGUACGUAGGCCUCUGUGCAAUAAGCUCCACUCCCAGGUGCUUGAGCCUUGAUGUACCUAAACAAACAGGGUUCAGUACAUGAGCAGAAAACAGGCAAAGCGAAGCUGUGGCCGGCCCCAGCACCAGCCUUUCUCACUUUUCCAUCCGCCAGCCGUAGCUGAUCUGACUCUUGCUGCCUCACGCUCUUGUCUCCCUUGAUUUCAGACUGGCGUGAAAGGCUCAGUGCAGCGCGGCGGCCCCCAGGCCCAUGACUGUUUUUUGGGGAGGCGAACCAGCCCCCCUUGGCCAUGCUGCAGCCGCUGGCUCAUGCGCAAGCAGCGGGGAGCACGUUCGGGGCAGUUCUGCAGACCCCUGGCUGCAGCCUGGGGACGGGAGCAAUACACGGGAUGGGGGCUUUGUGUGAGGGAAGAGGGUUACAGCUAAGAGGUCUAACCUCCUCAACCCCCUCCUGGCUAAGAAGGGGACGCAUAGGAAGCCCGAGGGAGGGGAGAACAUUUGAGAAUCGAGGCAGUCCUGUUGGCUGAGUCUGUGCGACUCCCUCCCCUGCAAACCUGGAGAGGGAUCUGGUCCAGGAGGAGCAUCUGGCUUACGCCGUCUUGGCACAAUCGAUCUUGAUUCUUAAUCCCCGUCACACCCCAGUGUGGGGACCAGGCCCAGUCCCGUCCAUCGGGCCCCGUGCAGCCCCCCAGUUACCUGCGUGCCUUCAGAGCUGGCCUUGGCCUCUCGGUGGCCCCUGGAGGGAGCCAGCAGCUUUCCUGCUGCACUGCAGAUUACCUCGGAGUGACUUGCUCCUUUCUGUCUCUUAAUGCCAGCUUUCGGUUUACUGGGGUCUGACUCCCUGCACUUGGCUCCUUAUCCCUCACUGCCUGCUUUGCAAAGAACCAAGGACUUGUUCAAGAGCAGAACUGCCCCGUGGCUGGAAAUCUGCCCCCGCAGGGCUGUAUGGAAGAGAUGAGGGUGUCCCUUCCCCCAGCAGUGAAUCCAGUCACUGCGUAGCCCCUGACUUAUGGUGGGAGCAAAUGAGGUCAAAAUGUGUCCUGUGACCUUGCAGCGCUGGAUGGACAUGGGAGCAAGCAGGUCUCCGACACUUUGGUACUUGCGCUGAUCUACUGGGGAAGAGGGAGGGGAAAAAUCCAGCUUGUCUUAAGGAUCUCUGUGCCUCUAGAGCCCUCCUGAUGAAGCUGGGCCCUCCUGCACCUCGCAGCCUCUUGCCCUGUGAGCUUCUGCAGUUACAUGGUACCUGGCCGUGCCGGAGCAACGCUCAGGAUCAGGUCCGCAGGAGAGGAAUGGGUUGCCGCACCGCUCCGUGUAGCCGUAUGGGCACCGCGUGCUUCCUCACUCCUGCCUCUUGCCAGGGUUGGAGGCACGACCCGUUCCCAAGUGCUUGGUUGCGCGAUGGCUCUGCUGCAGCACAGCCUCGGGAGCGGGGGGCAGUUACCUUCCUCACCACCACCACGCUGCUGUCCUCCAAGGCCCGUGUCCUCUGCUUCUUCCCUUUCCUUGUCCCUCUUCCCCCAGCAGCCCUCCCUAAAAGCACCUGCUUUUCCCAGGCGAGCACGAAAUCAAGCAAUCCCGCAAAGUACAGUGAGGUUUUUCCUUUCCCCCUCUCCUAAACAAGGGAAGUGCUCUGCUACUGACAUCUCCGUUGCAGACAAGGUCGUGUGUCCCACGGCAAGCGCUGCAGGGAUGGAGGAUGGAGAUGGCUAUGGACCCGGUUCCUUGGGCAGACGCAAUGCUGAUAAAAGCGGAGCAGAGAUGAAGAGGGGAGGGGGUGCAGAGAGUUGUGUGUAUGCGGCUGAAUCCAGCUAUAGGGCUUUUUGCAGCCGAAUAAUUAAAUCUUCCCUUGCCCAAGCACAGCUCUCAGGAUGCUCAAACUCAGGGCUCGGCGUGUCUUUAGGAAGCUGAAAACACGAGUCUUGCAACAGAGAUUUAUUGAGGUCUAAAGCCUAACCUAAGAACCGACGUGCGCUGCUGCAGUCUCGCUAGAGCCUGGGAGAGGGAACACGUCCCCUCUUGCCGGGGGUGGCACUGAGGGUGGCUGCGGUGCUGCCAGCCCUCUCCUUGCCGGACCUGGCCGGCUUCUGGAAAAAAGCAGCCUCCUAAUUGAGUUCUGUGACUAGCUGAGUUGCAAAGGGGCUACGAGGGCGCAGAGGCAAGCAGGACGCGACCGCGGAGCCAUGUUGCGGCUCCGCAGCGCAGCGGGGGCCGCGUGGCCGAGCCCCCGCACCAGGGAGGGGAGAUGCAGGGAUGCGGGAGAGGGGCUGCUGGGGGGGCAACGUCAGAAAUAAAAAUU